rnacentral:misc_RNA from 1 species
GAUGAAGAACGUAGCGAAAUGCGAUACGUAAUGUGAAUUGCAGAAUUCAGUGAAUCAUCGAAUCUUUGAACGCAUAUUGCGCUCUCUGGUAUUCCGGAGAGCAUGCUUGUUUGAGUAUCAGUAAACACCUCAACUUCCAUAUCUUUUUUGAAAUGGGAGUUGGACUUGAGUGAUCCCAACGCUUUUCCUCACCGAAAAGUGGCGGGUUACUUGAAAUGCAGGUGCAGCUGGACUUUUCUCUGAGCUAUAAGCAUAUCUAUUUAGUCUGCCUAAAAACAGAUUAUUACCUUUGCUGCAGCUAACAUAAAGGAGAUUAGUUCUUGUGCUGACUGAUGCAGGAUUCACAAAGACAGGCUUCGGCCGACUUUGUAAACUCGAUCUCAAAUCAAGUAAGACUACCCGCUGAACUUAAGCAUAUAAUAAGCGGAGGA